rnacentral:rRNA from 1 species
GACGAACGCUGGCGGCGUGCUUAACACAUGCAAGUCGAACGGAAAGGCCCUGCUUUUGUGGGGUGCUCGAGUGGCGAACGGGUGAGUAACACGUGAGUAACCUGCCCUUGACUUUGGGAUAACUUCAGGAAACUGGGGCUAAUACCGGAUAGGAGCUCCUGCUGCAUGGUGGGGGUUGGAAAGUUUCGGCGGUUGGGGAUGGACUCGCGGCUUAUCAGCUUGUUGGUGGGGUAGUGGCUUACCAAGGCUUUGACGGGUAGCCGGCCUGAGAGGGUGACCGGCCACAUUGGGACUGAGAUACGGCCCAGACUCGUACGGGAGGCAGCAGUGGAGAAUAUUGCACAAUGGGCGGAAGCCUGAUGCAGCAACGCCGCGUGCGGGAUGACGGGCUUCGGGUUGUAAACCGUUUUCGCCUGUGACGAAGCGUGAGUGACGGUAAUGGGUAAAGAAGCACCGGCUAACUACGCG